CUACGGGCUGCAGCAGUAAAGAAUAUUGCGCAAUGGACGAAAGUCUGACGCAGCGACACCGCGUGAUCGAUGAAGCCUUUACGGGUGUAAAGAUCUUUUCUGGAGGAAUAAUUCUGAAGGUACUCCAGGAAUAAGCACCGGCUAACUCCGUGCCAGCAGCCGCGGUAAUACGGAGGGUGCAAGCGUUAUCCGGAAUCACUGGGCAUAAAGAGUUCGUAGGCUGUUUGUUAAGUUGGAUGUAAAAGCCUUAAGCUCAACUUAAGAAGUGUAUCCAAAACUGACAAACUAGAGACUCGCAGAGGUACGUGGAAUUCUGCAUGUAGGAGUAAAAUCCGUUGAUAUGCAGAGGAACACCAAAAGCGAAGGCAGCGUACUGGGCGAGUUCUGACGCUGAGGAACGAAAGCGUGGGUAGCGAACGGGAUUAGAUACCCUAGUAGUC
rnacentral:rRNA from 1 species